UGGCGCCUGGGCCCGGGGGAGGGGGCAGAGCAGCCUGCUUCUCCAGGCUCCGGGGCCCGUGACCCUGACAAGACAUUCCUUGGGGCGGGGUGGCUGCCCCUUCUGCUGGAAGGGGCGCCUGCGCGGAGCAUGAGCUUUUUUUGGAAACCACAAACACACCAAAUGUUACCUGCUAAAUGAUGCUUUGGAUCCAGAUUUCAGGAUCCAACCCAGGAUCCUAUGUGGAAUUUAGAACAAAUCUCUCCCGAAGGAACGACUGUAGCCACGGCCUGUCGGAUGUCAGUCCAUAACUCACCCAGCAGCCUGCCUUGGAGUGAAAUUCAGCCCUUCACACGCACGGUCCUCAGAACACACACCUCCACUUGCCCGUCUCCGUGCUGUGGUCACUUUUGUUUCCACAUGUUCAAAAUCCCCAACACACAUUAUUAGUUUUGCUUUCGACAACUGUUUUUUAACGUUUUAAAUAUUCUUACUUGGUAAAAUAUAUGUAAAACUUACCGCUUUAACCAUUUUUAAGUGGCCAGUUCAGUGGCAUUAAAUGCAUUCACGUGGCUGUGGCACCA